AGAGGCUUAGGAUAGCACCAGACCAAGGGCCUUCAAAGCCUUUAGCGGGAGUGAAAAUCUCCCAGCCCCUG
rnacentral:tRNA from 1 species